UUAAAGAAUUGACGGGACCCGCACAAGCAGCGGAGCGUGUGGUUUAAUUCGAUGCUACACGAAGAACCUUACCAGGGUUUGACAUGCAAGUGGUAGCGAAGCGAAAGCGGAGCGACCCUUCGGGGAGCUUUGCACAGGUGCUGCAUGGCUGUCGUCAGCUCGUGUCGUGAGAUGUUCGGUUAAGUCCGCUAACGAGCGCAACCCUCGUCGUGUGUUACAAGUGUCACGCGAGACCGCCGGUCAUAAACCGGAGGAAGGUGGGGAUGACGUCAAGUCAGCAUGGCCUUUAUAUCCUGGGCUACACACACGCUACAAUGGCAGAUACAAUAGGUUGCGAAACCGCGAGGUGGAGCCAAUCCUCAAAGUCUGUCUCAGUUCAGAUUGUAGGCUGCAACUCGCCUGCAUGAAGUUGGAGUUGCUAGUAAACGCAGGUCAGCUAUACUGCGUUGAAUACGUCCCGGGUUU
rnacentral:rRNA from 1 species